rnacentral:rRNA from 1 species
AGAGUUUGGUCCUGGCUCAGAACGAACGCUGGCGGCGCGCCUAACACAUGCAAGUCGAGCGCCUCACUUUCGGGUGGGGAGCGGCGCACGGGUGAGUAACGCGUGGGAAUCUACCCUGGGGUUCGGGACAACGGCGGGAAACUGCCGCUAACACCGGAUACGGCCUUUUGGCGAAAGUUUACGCCCUGGGAUGAGCCCGCGUCCGAUUAGCUAGUUGGUGGGGUAACGGCCCACCAAGGCUGCGAUCGGUAGCCGGUCUGAGAGGAUGAUCGGCCACACUGGGACUGAGACACGGCCCAGACUCCUACGGGAGGCAGCAGUGGGGAAUCUUGGACAAUGGGGUCAACCCUGAUCCAGCGACGCCGCGUGGGUGAUUAAGGCCUUCGGGUUGUAAAGCCCUUUUGUCGGGGACGAUGAUGACGGUACCCGGCGAAUAAGCACCGGCUAACUCCGUGCCAGCAGCCGCGGUAAUACGGAGGGUGCUAGCGUUGUUCGGAAUUACUGGGCGUAAAGGGCGCGUAGGCGGCCGUUUGCGUCGGAUGUGAAAGCCCGGGGCUCAACCCCGGAACGGCAUUCGAUACGGGACGGCUGGAGACCGGGAGAGGAGAGUGGAAUAGCCAGUGUAGAGGUGAAAUUCGUAGAUAUUGGCUGGAACACCGGUGGCGAAAGCGGCUCUCUGGCCCGGUUCUGACGCUGAGGCGCGAAUGCGUGGGGAGCAAACAGGAUUAGAUACCCUGGUAGUCCACGCCCUAAACGAUGUGUGCUGGGCGUCGGGGGGCUUGCCCCUCGGUGCCGGAGCUAACGCGGUAAGCACACCGCCUGGGGAGUACGGCCGCAAGGUUAAAACUCAAAGGAAUUGACGG